GAGAGAGUAAUUUGGGGGGAAACACGAUAUUCAAGUAGAGAGAAAAGCAAAAAUCCACCUGCUCCCUCCCAGGCCUCCCAGCAAAUCUGCCUCAAACUUCAAGUACCUGGCGCUCCUCCCUCCCACAGCUAAAUUCCUAGAAUUUAUUUUCUAGGAAUUUAGACAAUCCAAACUGGCUGCCUCUCCUCUCUCACCUGACCUGCCUAUCUGCUUUAAGGGUCCACUUGAAACUCAAGUUGCUCGCCAAACUUGCAAACUUACAAAUAGAAAAUGCCCUGUCAUUCGUGCCCCCCCCUUCUGACAUUCCAUCCCUCCCCACUGCCUGCCACUAUGGACAGGAGACAGAGCCCUGGCUGCCUGGCAGCUAUGUGCCCUUGAAGAGACCACACACCCAAGUAAAACACACAAGCCCAGGCCACAUUGUGCUGCAUUAAAAGGCCCAAGUUAGGGGGCUGGGGUUGUGGCUCAGCGGUAGAGCGCUCGCCUGGCAUGUGUGAAGCCCUGGUCUCCAUCCUCAGCACCACAUAAAAACAAAUAAAAUGAAGGUAUUGUGUCC
rnacentral:lncRNA from 1 species